rnacentral:tRNA from 3 species
GGGGACGUAGCUCAGUUGGCUAGAGCACCUGCUUUGCAAGCAGGGGGUCGUGGGUUCGAUUCCCAUCGUCUCCA